GCCCAGAUAGCUCAGUUGGUAGAGCAAUGGACUGAAAAUCCAUGUGUCACUGGUUCGAUUCCGGUUCUGGGCA
rnacentral:tRNA from 1 species